rnacentral:rRNA from 1 species
UACAGAGGUCUCAAGCGUUGUUCGGAUUCAUUGGGCGUAAAGGGUGCGUAGGUGGCGCCGUAAGUCAGGUGUGAAAUCCCGGGGCUCAACCCCGGAACUGCACUUGAUACUGCGGUGCUCGAGUACUGGAGAGGAGAUUGGAAUUUACGGUGUAGCGGUGAAAUGCGUAGAUAUCGUAAGGAAGACCAGUGGCGAAGGCGGGUCUCUGGACAGUUCCUGACGCUGAGGCACGAAGGUCAGGGGAGCAAACGGG